GGACGAUGAUGCAUAGCCGAGUUGAGAGACUGAUCGGCCACAUUGGGACUGAGACACGGCCCAAACUCCUACGGGAGGGCAGCAGUAGGGAAGUCUUCCACAAUGGACGCAAGUCUGAUGGAGCAACGCCGCGUGAGUGAAGAAGGUUUUCGGAUCGUAAAGCUCUGUUGUUGGUGAAGAAGGAUAGAGGUAGUAACUGGCUUUUAUUUGACGGUAAUCAACCAGAAAGUCACGGGCUAACUACGCGCCAGCAGCCGCGGUAAAU
rnacentral:rRNA from 1 species